rnacentral:rRNA from 1 species
CCUAGUUGAUCCUGCGAGUAGUUAUAUGCUUGUCUCAAAGAUUAAGCCAUGCAUGUGUAAGUAUCAACAAAUUAAGAUGGUGAAACUAUGAAUGGCUCAUUAAAUUAGUUAUAGUUUGUUUGAUGGUAUCUAUUACUUGGAUAACCAUAAUAAUUCUAAAGCUAAUAUGUGAAACAAACCCCAACUUUUGGAAGGGAUACAUUUAUUAGAUAAAAAGUCAAUGUGGGCUUUACCCAUUGCUCUAAUUAUUCAUGAUAACUCGAUGGAUCGCAUGACCUUUGAACUGGUAAUGCAUCAUUCAAAUUUUUGCCCUAUCAACUUUUGAUGGGAGGAUAGUGGCCUAUUAUAAUGGUAUGGAUGAUGGAGAAUUAGGGUUUGAUUAUAAAGAAAGAGCCUAAGAAAUGGCUAUCACAUCUAAGGAAGCCAUUAGGAGCGUAAAUUACCCAAUCCUGACAUGAUAAGGUAGUGACAAUAAAUAAAAUACCGGGCUCUAUGAGUUUGGUAAUUGGAAUGAAUACAAUCUAAAUCCCUUAGCAAGGAUCCAUUUAAGGGCAAGUCUGGCACUAGCAACCAUGGUAAUUCCAACUUUAAUAGCAUAUAUUUAAGUUGUUAUAGUUAAAAACCUUGUAGUUGGAACUACGGUUGGGUUAUCCAAUUUACCUAACGGUGAGCACUAGUCUACUCAUCUCUACUAUCAACAACGUGCUCUUUGCCUUAACUAGCCAGGUCGUUCCUCUGACACUAUUAUUUUGAAGAAAUUAGAGUGCUCAAAGUAGGCCUACACUUGUAUACAUUAUCAUGGGAUAACAUCAUACAAUUUUGGUCUUAUUGUAUUGGCAUUCGGGAUAAGAGUAAUGAUUAAUAGGGGCAGUUGGAGGCAUUCAUAUUACAUAGUCAAAGGUAAAAUUCUUAGAUUUAUGAAUGAUGAACAAUUGCGAAAGCAUUUGCCAAGGAUGUUUACAUUAAUCAAGAAUAAAAGUUGGGGGCUCAAAGAUGAUCAAAUACUAUCCUAGUCUCAACCAUAAAUGAUGCUGACCAAGGAUUGACGGAUGUUACUUUUAGGACUCCAUUGGCUCUUUAUUAGAAUUCAAAGUCUUUGGGUUCCAAAGGGGUAGGGUCGCAAGGUUGAAACUUAAAAGAAUUGAUGGAAGGGCACAACUAGGAGUGAAGCCUAUGGCUUAAAUUGACACAACAUGAGAAAACUUACUAGGUCUGGACAUAGUAAGGAUUGGCAGACUGAGACCUUUUUCUUGAUUCUAUUGGUGGUGGUGCAUGGCUAUUCUUAGUUGGUGGAGCAAUUUGUCUAGAUAAUUUUGUUAACUAAUGAAACCUCAGCUUGCUAACUAGCUAUGCGAAGGUGAUACUUCAUGGCUAGCUUUUUAAAGAGAUUAUGGCUACUUAAGCUAAGGAAGUUUGAGGCAAUAAUAGGUCUGUUAUGACCUUAGAUGUUCUGGGCUACAUGUACACUGCUCUAAUGUAUUCAAGGAGUCCAUAGCCUUGGCCGAUAGGCUGGGGUAAUCUUUCAAAUUUCAUUAUAAUAGGGAUCGAUCAUUGCAACUGUUAGUCUUCAACGAGGAAUUCCUAGUAUGCACAAGUCAUCAUCAGCUUGUACUGACUACAUCCUUGCCCUUUGUACACACUGCUCAUCACUCCAACCAAUUGAAUAGUCUGGUGAAGUGUUCGAAUCAUGGUAACAUGGAUAGUUCGCUGCCUAUGACAUUGCAAGAAGUCCACUGAACCUUAUAUUUAGAGGAAAGAGAAGUUGUAAUAAAGUUUCUAUAUAUGAAAGGAUCAUUG